GAUCAUGGCUCAGGAUGAACGCUAGCUACAGGCUUAACACAUGCAAGUCGAGGGGCAGCAUGAAGUUUGCUUGCAAACUUGAUGGCGACCGGCGCACGGGUGAGUAACGCGUAUCCAACCUUCCCUAUACUAGAGGAUAGCCCGGCGAAAGUCGGAUUAAUACUCUAUGUUCUUCGUAGAAGACAUCUGAAAUGAAGCAAAGGUUUACCGGUAUAGGAUGGGGAUGCGUCUGAUUAGGUUGUUGGCGGGGUAACGGCCCACCAAGCCCACGAUCAGUAGGGGUUCUGAGAGGAAGGUCCCCCACAUUGGAACUGAGACACGGUCCAAACUCCUACGGGAGGCAGCAGUGAGGAAUAUUGGUCAAUGGACGAGAGUCUGAACCAGCCAAGUAGCCGUGCAGGAUGACGGCCCUAUGGGUUGUAAACUGCUUUUAUGCAGGGAUAAAGUGACGUACGUGUACGUUUUUGUAGGUACUGUAUGAAUAAGGACCGGCUAAUUCCGUGCCAGCCGCCGC
rnacentral:rRNA from 1 species